rnacentral:rRNA from 1 species
AUUGAACGCUGGCGGCAUGCUUUACACAUGCAAGUCGAACGGCAGCGCGGGCUUCGGCCUGGCGGCGAGUGGCGAACGGGUGAGUAAUGCAUCGGGACGUGCCCAGUAGUGGGGGAUAGCCCGGCGAAAGCCGGAUUAAUACCGCAUACGACCUGAGGGUGAAAGCGGGGGGCCGAAAGGCCUCGCGCUAUUGGAGCGGCCGAUGUCGGAUUAGCUAGUUGGUGGGGUAAAGGCUUACCAAGGCGACGAUCCGUAGCUGGUCUGAGAGGACGACCAGCCACACUGGGACUGAGACACGGCCCAGACUCCUACGGGAGGCAGCAGUGGGGAAUUUUGGACAAUGGGGGCAACCCUGAUCCAGCCAUGCCGCGUGCGGGAAGAAGGCCUUCGGGUUGUAAACCGCUUUUGUUCGGGAAGAAAUCCUCUGGGCUAAUACCCCGGGGGGAUGACGGUACCGGAAGAAUAAGCACCGGCUAACUACGUG